AUUGAACGCUGGCGGCAGGCCUAACACAUGCAAGUCGAGCGGAGCGGCGGACGGGUGAGUAAUGCCUAGGAAUCUGCCUGGGAGUGGGGGAUAACGUCCGGAAACGGGCGCUAAUACCGCAUACUCUCAGAUGAGCCUAGGUCGGAUUAGCUAGUUGGUGGGGUAAAGGCCUACCAAGGCGACGAUCCCUAACUGGGCUGGGAGGAUGAGCAGUCCCACUGGAACGGAGACACGGUCCAGAAUCCUACGGGAGGCAGCAGUGGGGAAUAUUGGACAAUGGGCGAAAGCCUGAUCCAGCCAUGCCGCGUGUGUGAAGAAGGGCUUCGGAUUGUAAAGCACUUUCAGUUGGGAGGCGUUACCCACAGAAAAAGCACCGGCUAACUUCGUGCCAGCAGCCGCGGUAAUAC
rnacentral:rRNA from 1 species